CGUCUACGAGUUUGAUCAUGGCUCAGGAUGAACGCUAGCGGCAGGCUUAACACAUGCAAGUCGAGGGGCAGCGCGAUGUAGCAAUACAUUGGCGGCGACCGGCGCACGGGUGCGUAACACGUAUGGAACUUACCCUUUACUGGGAGAUAGCCCGGAGAAAUCCGGAUUAAUAUCCCAUAAUAAACGAAGUGGCAUCACUUUGUUUUGAAAGCUCCGGCGGUAAAGGAUGGCCAUGCGCACGAUUAGCUAGUAGGUGAGGUAACGGCUCACCUAGGCUACGAUCGUUAGGGGGCCUGAGAGGGUUAUCCCCCACACUGGUACUGAGACACGGACCAGACUCCUACGGGAGGCAGCAGUGAGGAAUAUUGCGCAAUGGAGGCAACUCUGACGCAGCCAUGCCGCGUGCAGGAAGAAGGCGCUACGCGUUGUAAACUGCUUUUAACCGGGAAGAAACCCUCCGACGUGUCGGAGGUUGACGGUACCGGAGGAAUAAGCACCGGCUAACUUCGUG
rnacentral:rRNA from 1 species